rnacentral:piRNA from 1 species
UGUGGAUCUGACAUGCCUUACUGCUUGGCCC